UUUUAGAGUUGUCAUACUCAUUUGAAAAAAAGCAACUGUGCUGUGGUGCUGAAUUCACUUGCCCUGCCUGCACGCCUGAAAUGUUGGCUGUUUCUGCAGAUGGAAACAGAAAGUUAUAUCGCUUUGGCCAAAGUGGAAGCUCUGAUGACCCUGCCUUUCUUGAGGGGCUCUUUGUAGCCAAAGACAGUGAGGUGGCCAUAUUUACAGAUGCCAUCCAAAAAGCAGUCAAAAAUACACAGGGAAAAGGGAAGUGUGGGGACUCCCAGUGGACAGCAGCAAGAGAGAGAUCAAAGAGGGCUUCAAAAUUGGAUGAAGAGGUGAUGGAGGUGGCAGUAUGUCGCCAUGGCUUUCUUUUGAAAGCCCUUAAUAUGUACGGGGGGAGAUAUUUGCAUACCCCCUCUUCCUUCAGAAAGAACUGAUGCCAGCCAAGCCUCAGUUCUUUGCAAUGGAUGUGGCUUGCAAAUACUGGCCCUACCUUGAAAAAGCCGCCAAUGUCCUUCCGGCCCUCCAGGAGCUGACAACCAUGAAGCCAUUCCUUAGUGUGAUGCAUGCAAGAGCUCAUGCAACAAAGUGUGAGAUCAAAUGGAGCGGUAGGAACCAGGAAGGAGCAGGGACAACUGCUGGUGAGGAGGUUUAGCAAGUGAAUAGCUACCUGUCUCGUUGUGCCCUGACGACAAAGUACAUGUCGAAAGCAGCACGAGUGGACAUGCUUACAUUGCAUGCUCUGGGGUGGAACCACAAAAAAAGGACCUUUUUACAUCAGGCCCUUUCUACAAGAUAUGUAAAGACCUGUCAAAGACUGCUAGAUGAGACUGUAAGGCUAGCUGAGCUGAAAGCAGAGCUACAGUGCACUGACGAAAUGGCAUCACAGUGGAUGUCCGAGGUGACUGAAUGGGCAGCUGACAAGACACCUCAUACCACUGAAGGCACCACACGGGAAGAACGUCAACAGCCCAUUGUGGGACUCUUCCUGAGUGUCAGGCAGCGGAAGUAAAGUCUUUAUCGUCAAAAUGGUAUAACAAUAAAACGUAUAUCCAUCAUAUAUCAUAUUCAUAUAUCAAUCGACCUUAUAUAACUAUAUUUGACAUUCCACAAGCAAUUGAAUGUACUUGCAAUCCACUGCCCAUUAUCUAAACUUUGUGUUCUUGUUCUUAAUGUAUCUUUAGACAGCAGCAAGCUUCGCCACUGCCUUCGUAGGAAGCUGGGAGAGGACAAGAAGGUGCUUCUUCAGGAGAUGCAGACAUACAAUGCCUCUGCUCUAUCAGAGACUGAAAAAAUGGAUGUGGCUGUUGUGGAGCAUGCAUUGACUGGAGAGUGCACUGUGUCCCCUUUGUGGCCAUGGGAGGAUCAUGGCAUGGCAAACAUCACAAUCAAGAAGAGGGUGUAUGACCAAGUGAUGCUCACCAUGAGACUGCAAGAGGAGAAAAGCAUUUUGGUGUUGGAGAUGGUACAACAUUGCACAUGGUUGCAGAAGAAGGCAGAUGAACUUCGAAACAAGGUGGCUGAGAAUGGCAAGACCGACGAAGGACUUUGCUGUCUCUUUAAAGGACAACUUUCAGAGGUGUCAGAGCAGUUGCAAGUAGUCAUGCACCAGUACAAGACUGUUUUAG